rnacentral:lncRNA from 1 species
CUGAAGGCUUGCAUUGUGCAGUCACAUAAAGGGAGAGCUAACCAGAAAACAGCAGCUGAUGAUCUGAAGCCAGGCUGUGCUAUUGUCCGGCACACAAAUGUUCUACAAGGACCCAGACCACCAUGCAGUUCUCUGUGCACAGACUAUGGAGGUUCGGGGAGGGGGGGCAGUGGAGGGGGCCAGGGCUUUUCUCCCUUCCUUUUCUUUCUUUCCUUCCUGAAACCUUUUCCUUCCAAUCCCUCUACAGCCGCGCACAUUCAACGGCUAGCAAUUAUUCCCAUUGACCCUCCUCACUCUCCAAAUGGGGUGUGGGUCUCUGAAGGUUUUCUCUUUGUACCUGACAACCCCAUGUUGCAGGCAGGCUCCAGGGAGGAGGUGAGGGCUCAGCUCCCUGGGGACGGUGACUGGGAAUGGAGUGGCUGUGAUUUAUUUUCCAUCGAGCAAAGUCAAAGCGAGGACUCCAAGUUCCAUACGAUAGCAACCACAACAACAGCUGUCAUUGGUUAUUUAGUGUGUCAGGUUGGAAGAGCCUUUACCCAUGAGGAGUACUGAAUAAAUAGACUUUCGCCAUUUCUCUCCAAAGAGGUUGGGAAGGAACCACUCAUGAGGAAAGCCUGGAGGGUACAAAUUGUCAGAAUGAAGUAUGGUCCUUUGUUCAGAAUCAGAAGAGUUAACCACUCAAAUCAUAAAAUACCAGCUGAAGCUCACUUCACCAAGCAAUGGGGAACAAAAUGCAAAGAAGAAAAACAUGACAACACUGAAAAUGCCCAAGAUAUAAUCUCUCCAGAUUAAAUCAAGACAACUUCAUUUGGGAUCCUAGAGGUCUUUUGCCUAAAAGACCCAGGAAGCAUGCUUUGAGGUGGCACAGAAAAGAGUCAGAUUUUUUGUCUUCUUUUUUUAAUUUAAUAAGACAGAAUGAGAUUGAUUGGGAAAUGCAGAAUAAUCUGCCUAUCUGGGAAGUGUUUUUGUCUGAUUAUUUGCACUUGAGUGAAAGAAGAUCAACUCUAAGUUAUUAAAUUAAGGGGGUACAAAGAUCAACCCAAC